AAUGAACGCUGGCGGCGCGCCUAAUACAUGCAAGUCGAGCGAGAAGACGUAGCAAUACGUUUGUAAAGCGGCGAACGGGUGAGGAAUACAUGGGUAACCUACCCUCGAGUGGGGAAUAACUAGCCGAAAGGUUAGCUAAUACCGCGUACGCUUCUUGGACUUCGGCUCAGGGAGGAAAGCGAUGCCGAGGGUAUCGCGCUCUUGGAUGGGCUCAUGUCCUAUCAGCUUGNGGUGAGGUAACGGCUCACCAAGGCUUCGACGGGUAGCUGGUCUGAGAGGACGAUCAGCCACACUGGCACUGCGACACGGGCCAGACUCCUACGGGAGGCAGCAGUAAGGAAUAUUGCGCAAUGGGCGAAAAGCCUGACGCAGCGACGCCGCGUGAGGGAUGACGGCCU
rnacentral:rRNA from 1 species